rnacentral:sRNA from 1 species
AUUUAAAAAUAAAAUAAAAA